CGGAUCUUAAAUACUUGAACUCGACACGGUAUUUCUUAUGGUCAACAGAAAACCAAACUACUUCAAGAUGGUAGAAUUGAGAUUUUUAGUUGGUCAUCUUUAAAACAAGGAGAGAUUAAGAGUGUAUAGCAAUUUUGACAACUAUAACAAUUGCAAUUUCACUAAUACCCGGUAGAUCACAAUAAAACAAUUAUACCAAUAGCAAUUUGGUCAUCUUAAAACAAGUAGGACAGAUUAAG
rnacentral:misc_RNA from 1 species